GGGCCCGUAGCUUAGCCAGGUCAGAGCGCUCGGCUCAUAACCGAGCGGUCCUGCGUUCGAAUCGCAGUGGGCCCA
rnacentral:tRNA from 2 species